UUUUUUUUUUUUUUUUUUGUUGUUGCAGGUGGGGGUUUGAGCUAAGCUCAGUGGUUGAGAUAGGAUUAGCCAUUAGGUGUGUGAAAAAAGUUGAGCAACUAAAUAAUGCAGUGAAACAUUUCAAUCUACCAAUUGAUGGGUACAUUUAAAAAGAUGGCAUGCCAUAGUAGUGGCAGUUCCAUGAAUUGGCUUAAUUAUUAAACAGUUAUAAAUACGCUAGUAAUGGUUGAAGUUGACAUUGAACAGAUGGAUUAGGUCACAAUCAAUGCAAUUGCUAAUUCAAUUUGACGCUUAGAUUGCAUUGAAUAGAGUGGGUCGAGUUUUUUUGCCACACUAAUCUUCUUUCAGAAAAAUAUAUCUGAGAUGAUGUACUUCUUUUAUAUUUUAUUCCCAUAGCCAUGCUUUCUGCUUAAUUACAUCCACACCGUGGAUAAAAUUGCCAUUGAAGAUGAACUAAAUUCUGACGCGUUCUAUGUUGGAGAGAAUGUCAAUCAUAAGAUUAUCCAUCUCUAAUAAAUUUUGAUGCAUAUUAAAUUCUUUACUAAAUAUGUGAUCCCCUUCAACACUUUUAAGCAAACCAAGCCCACAAAGAAAAAAAAAAAGAAAAUUUAACAUAAAUUAAUUGGAGGAAAUACAAAAAUUUAAUUAGAAAAAGGAAAAUCGGCACCAUAAAUAGGUGAACUGUAUGAAACAAAAUUAUAAUCUCCAAGAAUUAUAUAUUAAAUAUACUAUAAUCAAUAAUAAAUCAAUCAAUCAACGGAUACAUGACUAAUUCCCAUAAAUAAAAUGUUAGAAAAAAAAUUUCUGGUAAGCUGGCUUGUUUGGAUAGCCAUUUGAAAAAUGGUCUUGUUUUUCGUGAACACAUUUUCCUAUCACAUUUUUACCUCACAUACAUCAAAUCGCUACAGUAAUUUUCCAACGAAAAAUUCAUGAAAAAUGCAAUUCAAACACAUUAGCUUUUCACCGCGCACAUGACAUGAGGUGAGCAAUUAUAUUAACGGGCACCAUUAAUAAUAUUCAAAAUGUCAUAAAAGUUUUAUAAACCCCAAAAAAUAGAGAUAAAAAAAAAUGAAAUAAUGAGAAUGGAUGGAGAUAUCAAACCUUCUUAUCUGUUUCACAUUUGUGGUUUGGAGUUUGUGGCGAUAGAGUUACGUUAGAAAGGGAACACACUCAGUUGGUACUGACUUUUGAACUAUUAAAUAAUCAUCUUAGGUCCUAUGAGUAGGUGUUUGGCUUGUAUUUUUGGACAGGAGGGUUAUAUUGGAAAUAAACUCUCUUUUUUUUUUUUUUUUUAACUACUAAGAUUCUUAUAAUUCCCUUUCUGCUUAGACUUUGUAAAAGAUUAGGUGUGGAAUUUCCUUUUUCAUCAUUGCUCCCUCAAUUUGCUGCCUUCUAAUGUUCUGCCAUUGUUUUGAAAGUGAAUUAUGCCAUUUCAAUCCAUACCUAUUCCCAUAUGCUUACAAAACCAACUUUAUGUCACCUAUCUUGGAGUCUGUAGCGAAGAUGUCAUAUCAAUCCAUCAGUUCUUCAGUUCAGCUGACCUCCACCAUCCAUCCACCCAGGCCAAAAAAAAAAAAAAGGGUUUGGAACAAUGAUGAAAACGUCAAGAGCAGAAGAGUUUUGGAAUCUCAAGCAAUAAACCUCAUCCAGCAGCAGAGGCAAAAUGGAGAGGCUCAAAGUAAAAGAUGUGUAAAGUUCCCAACUAAUCAGAACCCCAUAUCAUGACAAAUCAAGACUUGCAUACCCCAGUUUGGGGAAUCUCUAGCAUUACCCUUAUCAUACCAUGACAUUAGCUGAUGGCCCAUUUCUUUGAACACAUUGCUAACUCCAUUUGAGGGGAGGCACGAGCCAUCACCAUUGUCUUGGCUGAUAACUUAUAGUGGCAAUUCUCUUCUUGGUUCUUACUGUCAUAAUUAUUAUUAUAAACCAAAAAAAGAAGAAAAGGAGGAGGCCCAUAGCUCUGCACUCUCUCUGUUUUUGUUCAAGACAUCCAAGUUUCAAAUCCUGUCCAACUACUCCAAGAUCUCAAAAGGCCAAUUAUUUGACUGAUCUUUGUUACAACAAUGUGGCACAAAUUCUUCAAAACUUGAAGCCGGUGAUCAACUUAGAUUACUUAGAUUCACACAAAUCUCAGGUCACCACCAGCAGCGAGUUGUGAAUACCUGAUUUUUUAGGAGAUUUUGAUUUAUCUUUACCAGCUAAGUUAAUACGCAUCAGCAAGAUACGUGUCUGCUAUCCCUUCUGAAAUAGGUUGAAUAUUUUAAUUAUAGUUGAGCAAGCCCUUAAUGUUCUUUUCAGUGUUAUGUUCCUAGACUUGGUUUUGGACCAUUAACACUAGCGACUGCUCAAUCACAAUCAUAUGCUCUAAAACUGUAUUCUUGGUUGAAAAUGAUCAUUGCAAAAGAGAAAAUGGAAGGCAGUAAGAAAUUCCUCGUUCGGUUUGGGUCAGAUUUAUGCUGUGGGUCCAUAUUGAUAAGACGUUCAUUACUGAAUAUUUAUAUCGCCCUCUCCUCUCUCUUGUCAUUUUGCAAGUGUACUGGUAAAUGAAUCCUCUGCAAAAAUUCAAUUCCCAUCUAAUCCGCUUUGCACCCCUCCACCAAUAAUGUACAAACAGGACACGCUCCAGUAAAUGAAAUCAACAAGUUAAUUCACUCUAUCUUCAUUUGUUGUGUUAAUAUCAUCCACAGUAUGCUGUCGUGCUAUUAAAACUGAUAAUUGCAGGUCUUCUGCAUCUGUGUUUCUGUAUUGCUUAAGUGUGUGUUUCUGUACAUCAUUCAAUAAAAGGUUCUGAUUAUCAUGAGAAUAUUGAAAAAUGACAACUAUCAAGCAAUUUUCUAUUCGGUUCUUUUGUCUAAAUUGGCACUUUCUUACUCCUGUUCUCUUAACUUGUGAUGCAGUAAAACUGGAUAUUUUUGAAUGGUCAUAAUUAAAGUGUCUUUUCUGAUUUUCGUACGACGCAUGCCUUAAUUUUUGGAGCUCAACCAUGAAGCUAUCCAAUCCAACAUCGAUCGGCAAGAGAUUAGGCAUACGAGUAGUGAGUGCAUCUUGAAAGGGACCCCUAAAGCUAAGGGACAGUUGGAAUACCCUUUUCACACGAAGGGCUGUGCAGCUAACCAGCUUUAGUCAAUUAAUGAUGGAAAAAGAGAGGUCCGUAUCACAAGAAAGAAUGGACAUAUAAUUAAUCUCUUGCUAGCUAGUUUGGGGACCCGUAAUCUGCAGGGUAUAUAGACUUCUUCCAUGCCAAUAUAUAUAUUUUCAGCUUCACCUUUCUUUGAUGUUGAUUUUUUGUUUUUGUUUUUGUUUUGGUUUUGGUUUUGUUCCCUUGAGCAUUAAUAGAAGAGUAGGUAGGUUUCCAAGAUGCGUGACAAAACUGGAUUUUGAUCAAGGCUAUACAGUACUUGGUCCUAUAUUAAAUUAUCUUUCAUUCUUCUCUUCUUAAUAACUCCUCGAUUUUGCAUGGGGUUUUCAGAUCUUAGAAGAAGACAGAACUCAAUAAAUCUAACGGGCCAUCUACAUUGUACUCCUCCUCUCUGAUGGAUGGUCAGUCUUAUUUAAAGAGAAACCAAGUUUGAUAGAUGUCAGAUGACUAAAGAAUUGGUGAUGGAUAAGAAUAAGAGCGCGUGCGUGGUCCCUAUAAGUUGGGAAGAGGAGCAAGAAUAUCAUCACUUUUGAUAUUCAUUUGAUCACGAAUUCCAACCUAGUAUAUGCGGAUGCAACAUCAAUUUUCCUCAUAGUUUAACUCCGACAAUGUAAUUAAGAGUAUCAAAAUGUGAGUUAGAUCACCGACGGGAUCCUUUGAAUCUUCCUAGGAGUUGAUAUAGGAAAAGAAACGGUUCACAGGGAAAUACCUCUCCGACGUAGCUUUAUAAGAUUGAAGAGAAAAGAGGAGAAAACUUGUAUGGAUGAAGGGAUGUGGGUUGGAAGAUAAUGUGGGGUUUCAAAGAAAUCAAAAAGUAAUAGCCAGUAUGAAGCUGGGAGACCAGGAAAAGGAAAUAUAGGUUUGAACUGAAUCUCACGUUUGGUAUCCUGAUGCUGGUAGCUAGAUGUCCACUGUCCACCAGACACAGAUGCUGUUAUGUUGUUGGUUUCGGGCAUCAGAAUUCACAAAGAUAAUACAUUAAAUAGUAAACAUGCCAAUAAUGCUGAGGCAUAAUCCAAUUGCAAGAAAAAUGGAAAGUUGAAACAGUAAUCGGACACAGGUCCUGGAAAGAAAGACGAUUAUGUCACCACGAAAGUGGGAUACCAUCGGCUCGAGACCGGUUGCGCAGAGUAGUGAUCUUAUCACUUGGGUUUUGGCUGAUGGACAGACAUGCAACGUAGCUCAUGUAAAAAGCAACAGCACCUGAAGCAAAUAUAAUGCCACGAGACAAAGACGACGCCUUUGUAAACUCAGUUUCUGCAUUUGAUUGGUGGGGUAGAAAUCAGUGAUAAAUUUCCACCAGGCUGCAGAAAAUACCUCUUUCAGAAACAGUGACAAUGUCGCCAAGAUCUCAUACACGCCAGAUUGUGAUAACCACAGGGCCAUAGACCUAAUCUGAGCAUAAGCAACAAAUGAUCUUGUAUUUUAGUAAUCUAGAAAUAGGGUUAUGCGCUUGUACAUAUCAUAUGGCAGUCUUAAUCUCCAAUCUUUCUGUUUACGGCUCAUUGGCCUGCCUUUAGCUGAAGGGUUUCUAUUUUCCUUCACAUCAGCCAACUUCCAUAUACAGCACCCUGAAUCCAUCUCAAUCGAUUCUAGCAGGAAAACUCCAUUCUUUUCUGGGCAUUCCACCUCCAAAUUUUCAACAUAGCUGACACGCAUAGGCAUCUCUUUGAACCUAUCCAAGUCGUCUGGUACUUUGAGUAGCCGCUCAGCCCCAGGUGAGGAAACCUUAAGGGGGGAAAAAGGAAAAAAGAAACUUAAGCAAAUUCGAGUGUAUGAACCGAUUAGUGUCAUGCAAAACAAUAACCACAACAAUCAGGUGGCCAUUUGUAAAAUAUGAAACACUCGAGGCGAUGAAGAACUAAACUAUCAGUUGCAUUGUUGGUAAGUAAUUACAUCAAGAGCCAAAUCAUCUGGGAUUUCUCCAGUAGCCCCUACUUCAUCUAGCUUUGCCUUGUAUUCUUUACUGAAAGAUUCAAGCUCCUCGAUGCUGGGGCACCCAUAUCUGAAGAUUCAGAGUCAGUUUGAGAGCAAAUUUAGGACAUCAGACUAGUUGCUUAGGCAGGUAAACUAUAUUUAAAUGAUAUAAUUGAAGCAGCACACACUUUUCCACCAUAUGAUUUCAUAUAAUCCAGAAUGUGCUUCCCAAAUGAUUCAAUUAUGGACACCACAAGACCACAAAGGAAAAAUAAAAUAAAUCAGAUUAUAGUAAUUAAUCCUCUGUUAGUUGUUAAAAAGGAGUGACUAUCUUCUCUUGCACCCAACCACAUUUAGAGUUAGAAAUUAAAAAAAGGAAAGCAAUCGCAAAAGGUACACGACUAGAAUACUGGGAUGAAAACGACUAGUAUAACAAAAUGAUAUAUAUAUAUAUAUUGCUUAUGCUAAGGGAGGGGAGAGGGAUGGAAGGUUAUUUAUUCAUGAUUAAUACCAGAAAUCUGAAGAUUGAAAAACUCAACAUUACAAAAGCGUUUCUCCAGUCUUCCGUAUAAACAACUUCUAUGACUUCAAAGUUACCAGAAUAAAGUAACAAGCACAAAGCUAAUCUUACUCAUUUGACAGCUUAUCAAGUCUGACGUAGAUGUAUCCACGCGGUGAGGUCUUCAAGGCAAAGAGCUUCAUGUCAUCUCCAAACUGCAGCAGCACCUUGUGGGCUAUGGAAAGUGCCUUUUCUCCCCAGGGACAAUUUUGAAGAACCACUCCACCUCCAUCACCACCAUCACCAAUCUAAAUUUUGAACAACCAUCACUAACUAAAAGUUACUGUGGGAUGGGAAUCAAAACCCAACCUUCAAACAGGGUGAUACAGACCUUAGGCUCAACCUCCUCUUCUUCUUCCCAUAAAUCAAUUGGUUCAACCUCAUCUAUAUCAUCUGCCAUUCAACCAAGAUUACGCAAUACUUGAGCUAACUUCAAACCAGACAACUUUACAAGGCAGGGGAAUAGUGAAAUAUUUGCACAUCCUCCAGCCAACAGAAAUUUAAGAAUGUAGCUGAAGAUCCUUCACGUUAGUUACGUGCUUUCAAACCUAGGACUGCCAUUACACUAGAGGAAUACAGCCUAAGAAAUUUUAAGGUCAAUACCAAAGCAGCCACAGUGACCACAAUAUGCAAGAAAUGAUCCCAUUACUGCCCAUUUAAACAAAUAUUAUUACAUUGCUAUUAAAUUCUAAGAAGCCGCCACCACAACGUACAACAUAAAAAAUUCCACUCAGUAAGACUUAAAAUGAGUCUCUUACAUGAAAUCAGUACUACAAAGCAUAUACCAAGGCAAAAAAGAAAACUUCUUUCUUGAUUUUCUGUACAUUCCCGUUGUCCUCCCUUUUUCUUCUGAUAGAAAGCAAUGGGCAUUGCCCCAACAAGAAAUAUACCAAAGCAAACUUUUCUCAACCCAGUUAAGUUUAAUCCACGCACAUAAAGUUUGACAUAGACAAUAUCUCAUACACAUGGUGAACUAACGCUUAAACUCAAAUCAAACGAGCAGCCACCGGCAAAAAAAAAAUAAAAAUCAAAAGCUACAAUCUUUAAUACGAAGAGCUAGGCUCACCAUGGUCCUGGGUUUUGAUGAUUUGAGGGGAACUGCUACUUAGAUAUCGUCGAGAGAUAGAAGUGAAAAGAGAGGUGGGGUCUGAAGAAAUUUCACGCUUUUUAACUUUGUUGUAGUAAAAGUUUUGAAGGCCUUGACGUUGAACUUGAAGGACUAUCGGCGCCCGUGCUGCAAGAUCAUGAUAAUUAUGAUGAACCGAGGAAAGGGCUCUCGGAGACUUAUGCAGCAAGAAAGAUGAAAUUUUGCUACUGAUUUUUCGUCUCAUAUUUCUGCCUAGCUCUGGUUAGGUUAGGUCACGGAAAAUUGCUGCAGUUUCUGCAAUUCAUUCUCUAGUACGGACAAGAGAGAGUCCAAACCUGCAGGCGCAACCCCCUGCCUUUUGGGUUUCUGUGACCAAUUGUUUUUAAAUAUUUUUUUCCUUUGUUUUUUCAUCUUAUUUGUUUGGGUAGAAUAUUAUUGAAAAUAUUAUUUAAAAUAAUUACUGUAAUUUUUUUUAUUAUAUGAUAUCUGUGAAAUAAAAAAAUAAUUAAAAAUAUAAAAAGUGAAUUGAAAAAUAUAUUUAAAAUACAAGCAAAAUAUUAAAUAAAAUAAUUCAGCAAUCCAAACACACUACUCAUAGCAUUUUUUAUUUUCAUGAUCAGUUAAGCUUUACUUCCAAAAGAACAUCUCAACAAAUUUCACCGUUUUUUGGAAGAAGGAAAUGGGGUAAUUUGGCUUCUGCCAAAUAUCUAUUCUCUUUAACUCUCUGUGUUAAUUAUAUGUAACAGUAAUAUGAAUCAGAAAAAUAAGUAGUACUUAUUUAACAUUAUUUUUUUGCAGAGAGUUGUGGAAAUUAGAUAUCAGAAACGCUAAAAUAUAUUUACAUAAUAAUUCCGGAAAAAAUUAAUUGAAUAUACAUGGCAGCAGUAAAGCUACAACUCUACAACAGUCUCCGAUAGACCAGCAAAAUCAGGGGAACACGAAAGAAAGAACAUUUCAUAACAAAAUUUUGCGAGACUCAGAGAGUUGGGACACGACAUUGGAAUUUCUACUGUCAACUAUAAUCUCAAAAUGGUUCUAAGCGUAUCAGAAAG
rnacentral:lncRNA from 1 species